rnacentral:rRNA from 1 species
ACCCGCUGAACUUAAGCAUAUCAAUAAGCGGAGGAAAAGAAACCAACAGGGAUUGCCCCAGUAACGGCGAGUGAAGCGGCAGGAGCUUAAAUUUGAAAUCUGGGGUCGCCGACCUCCGAGUUGUAAUUUGGAGAGGCAUCUUCGGGGUGGAGCGCCGGCCCCAUGUUCCUUGGAACAGGACGUCGCAGAGGGUGAGAAUCCCGUGCCAGGCCGGCCGCYUCCGCCCCAUCGAGGGGCCUUCGACGAGUCGAGUUGUUUGGGAAUGCAGCUCCAAGUGGGUGGUAAAUUUCAUCUAAAGCUAAAUACCGGCGGGAGACCGAUAGCGCACAAGUAGAGUGAUCGAAAGAUGAAAAGCACUUUGAAAAUAGAGUCAAAAAGUACGUGAAAUUGUUGAAAGGGAAGCGCUUGAGACCAGACCCAGACCCGGGCAAACACCGCGCCCCUCGGGGCCGUGCAAUUGCCCGUGGCUGGGCCAGCAUCAGUCGGCCCGGCGGGACAAAUGCGAGGGGAAUGUGUCUCCCCUCGGGGAGUGUUUAUUAGCCCCUCGCCCAAUGCCGCCCGAGCCGACUGUGGACCGCGCCUCGGCUAGGAUGCUGGCUUAAUGGCCUUCAGCGACCCRUCUUGAAACACGGACCAAGGAGUCUAACAUCUAUGCGAGUGUUUGGGCUUCAAACCCUUGCGCGGAAUGAAAGUGAGCGGAGGUGGGAACCCCCCCGCGGGGCGCACCAUCGACCGAUCCUGAUGUCCUCGGAUGGAUUUGAGUAGGAGCAUAGCUGUUGGGACCCGAAAGAUGGUGAACUAUGCCUGAAUAGGGUGAAGCCAGAGGAAACUCUGGUGGAGGCUCGCAGCGGUUCUGACGUGCAAAUCGAUCGUCAAAUUUGGGUAUAGGGGCGAAAGACUAAUCGAACCWUCUAGUAGCUGGUUCCUGCCGAAGUUUCCCUCAGGA